rnacentral:rRNA from 1 species
GUGCCAGCAGCCGCGGUAAUACGGAGGAUGCGAGCGUUAUCCGGAUUUAUUGGGUUUAAAGGGUGCGUAGGCGGGUUCUUAAGCGUGAGGUGAAAUGCCACGGCUCAACCGUGGAGCUGCCUCGCGAACUGGGAGUCUGGAAUGCUCCUGCCGUGGGAGGAAUGUGUGGUGUAGCGGUGAAAUGCAUAGAGAUCACACAGAACACCGAUUGCGAAGGCAUCUCACGAAGGGGUGAUUGACGCUGAGGCACGAAAGCGUGGGGAUCAAACAGGAUUAGAUACCCUGGUAGUCCACGCAGUAAACGAUGAUAACUAACCGCUGGGCUUUAUGGUUCAGUGGCCAAGCGAAAGCGAUAAGUUAUCCACCUGGGGAGUACGACCGCAAGGUUGAAACUCAAAGGAAUUGACGGGGGCCCGCACAAGCGGAGGAACAUGUGGUUUAAUUCGAUGAUACGCGAGGAACCUUACCCGGGCUCGAACGGUACAGGAAGAGAUCAGGAGACUGUGACGUCCUUCGGGACCUGUAUCGAGGUGCUGCAUGGUUGUCGUCAGCUCGUGCCGUGAGGUGUCGGGCUCAAGUGCCAUAACGAGCGCAACCCUUGCCGUCAGUUACCAUCAAGUAGUGUUGGGGACUCUGACGGGACUGCCACCGCAAGGUGUGAGGAAGGGGGGGAUGACGUCAAAUCAGCACGGCCCUUACGUCCGGGGCGACACACGUGUUACAAUGGGAGUUACAGAAGGGACCUACCUGGUGACAGGAUGGCAAUCUUAAAAAGCUCUCUCAGUCCGGAUCGGAGUCUGCAACCCGACUCCGUGAAGCUGGAUUCGCUAGUAAUCGCGCAUCAGCCAUGGCGCGGUGAAUACGUUCCCGGGCCUUGUACACACCGCCCGU